GUGUUGUAUGAAAGGAGAGAAGGUUAGCACUCCCUUGUUAAGAAUUC
ensembl:snRNA